UGAAUUCAAUAUCUUUGAACCUCUCAAAAGUUUCACAUUACUCCUUUUUCAAUUUUUCUACAUAAAUAUAUAUGAUGUGUGAAUUUUCAAUUUGACAAUUAGAUUCCGUAAAUUUUACCAAAUAAUUUAAUAGGUAUUUUUUUAAAAUUGAGAUUGCUAAAUAUAUAGUUAUUUUGAUCGUAUAUCUUACUCUAAUCUUGUAAAAUAAAACCAGAUGCCUAAAUACUAACUUUGGAAAACAGAAAAAAAAAAAAAAUUUGUUAGUUUUGAAGUCUUACAAGAUUUUGUACAUAGCAUAUGGUUAAAACUUUUUUAUAAUUACUAACUUUGGUUGACAAGCGACGCCCAUUAGUAGUUUCAAAUUUUUAUCAAAAUUUUACUUUCCAUUCGAUCCUUUUCAAAAAAAAAAAAAAAAAAAAAAAAAAAAAAAAAAAAAAAAAAAUCUUCUGUAAUAUAAUGUUAAAUUUAACUGAUGAAACAAAUAUCUGCACGUCGGAUUAACCUUUUUCUAAAUUAUGUAUGCAUUAACGACAUGAAGUAGGAAUUACCAUUUAGCAAAACAAGUAUUUAAAAUUGUUGGAACAAAGCUUAUUUUUAACUUACUAACUAUUAGUUUCUUGCUAAACAUAAACAUUGAUUUAAUAUCUGUGCUUAUCUUUUUAUUAAUAAAACGAUAAAGCCUUAGAAAGCAAUCUGCUUUAUGACAUCAAAUGAUGAACUAAUUAAACUUACUAACCUCCUCUGGGGGCAUAGACGGGCGAAAGGCCCGAAAGAAAAAGGCAGAGAACGAUAGCGAUACGAACGACGGCAAACAACAUACUUCUCCGACGACGGUCCGUCAGCUUCAUAGCAAUAUUCUUCAGUAUCUUUAUUUCUUGUGCUGUUGAUUUGAU
rnacentral:lncRNA from 1 species